GCUCUUCUACCUCUUUCUCUCUACAUCCCCAGCACGUAGAGGAGCCCUUGACAUGUAGUGGUCCCUCAAUAAGUAUUUUUUGAAUUAUUGAAUGCUAUGCCUUUCUUUCUUAUUGUACCAGAAAUCUGAGAGGACACAAGAGGCUAGACCUGCCAUCUUACCCCCUCAGGGAGCCUGAGACUGAGCCAACAGAGCACAAAGCAUGCGGCAGGCAGAGACACGUGAUUAUAUCUGGGAGCCCUGAAUCUUGCCAUGUCUGAAGCCAGAGCUGCCCUUGGUCUUCUCACUUCCAUGAGCCAGAGAUAUGGAACAAAGAAUACAAGACUUAGCAGAGAGAAACGUCUACUCCAUGGAGGCACUCAACCAUGAGAACAUUUUUGAAAGAUAGAGAUGGGCACUGAACGAGGGAGGAAAUGCCUGAGCUGAGCAGACUGGAGCAGGAGACUCUGCUGGCUGGCUUGAUGAAGUCAAGCCGUGUUGAAAAAGCCGCCAUGGCAAGGAGCUGGAAGUAGGCCCCCGUUAUCAUGGGCGGCCUCUAUGGCCUGCAGAUGGAAUGCAGCUGAUGGCCAGCCAAAACCGAGGCCCACAGUCUUACCGUGAUAAGAAAGUCAACUCCUCCAGCAAGCUGAAGAAGCUUGGAAGCAGACUUUCCUCCAAUCAAGCUUCCAGAUCAGAACGAACCCAGUGGACACCUUGAAUGCAACCUUACAAGACCCUGAGCAGAGGAGCCAGCUAAGCUGUGUCCAGACCCUUAACCCACAGGAAAUGUGAUAUAAAAAUGUAUACUUUCAAAGCC